CCUACGGGAGGCAGCAGUGGGGAAUUUUGGACAAUGGGCGAAAGCCUGAUCCAGCAAUGCCGCGUGCAGGAAGAAGGCCUUCGGGUUGUAAACUGCUUUUGUACGGAACGAAACGGUCUGCUUUAAUACAGUGGGCUAAUGACGGUACCGUAAGAAUAAGCACCGGCUAACUACGUGCCAGCAGCCGCGGUAAUACGUAGGGUGCGAGCGUUAAUCGGAAUUACUGGGCGUAAAGCGUGCGCAGGCGGUUAUAUAAGACAGUUGUGAAAUCCCCGGGCUCAACCUGGGAAUUGCAUCUGUGACUGUAUAGCUAGAGUACGGUAGAGGGGGAUGGAAUUCCGCGUGUAGCAGUGAAAUGCGUAGAUAUGCGGAGGAACACCGAUGGCGAAGGCAAUCCCCUGGACCUGUACUGACGCUCAUGCACGAAAGCGUGGGGAGCAAACAGGAUUAGAUACCCUGGUAGUCCACGCCCUAAACGAUGUCAACUGGUUGUUGGGUGCAUUAGUACUCAGUAACGAAGCUAACGCGUGAAGUUGACCGCCUGGGGAGUCGGCCGCAAGGUUGAAACGUCAAGGAUUGGNGCGNGAGAGNGCGAGACGACGACGAGGGAGGAGG
rnacentral:rRNA from 1 species